rnacentral:lncRNA from 1 species
CCUUCAGCAGCUUGAAACGUGAAGCUGGGACAAUGAAGUGUCUGUUCUGCUUCUUUGUGCAAAUGCUGCAACUGUAAAAGAAAGAGAAGAUCUUUCUAGAAGCAGCAGAUGAGUUGUAAUACAGGAAUCAGAUCUAGCUCAGACCUCUUGAUGACAGAAAUUCCACUAAGAGCUAAAAUGCUUCGUUAGCCUCAAAGAGGGUGCAUCCAUAGCAACUCUGCAGAACGAACACGCCGAGUCAAACGCUUAAAUGCAGAGGAAAACCCAUUUCCUUUCCAAUUUCCGCUCCCACGGGCAGUUACUGAUUACAGCCCGGUGCUGAUGUGCCGUGGACCGAAAGAGCACAGGAGAUGCUCCUCUGCUAUCCUGCUGAAAAUUCCCAUCCCUGAAAGCACACACUAAAUCAGCUCAGACGCAGCAAAGAAAACAUGAACAAAGAGAGCUCCUUCACUGCAGUGCAGUUUGGAUCGGCUCCAACAGACUGGCAGGUUACUUUGUACUGCUGCCCAAUGACCUACUUCUGAAAUUGCUGGCAAGAAGCAUGUGUCCCCAGCAGCAGGCCCUGCACCCUGGCAAAGGCUGGAACCACCUGUGCAGUCAGUCCAGUCACAAGAUACGGCGCUCUAUAUUUUCAGGUU